rnacentral:sRNA from 1 species
UAAUAAGAGAAACCAUGUUAGAUAAUUGAAAUUUGAAGUGAUGGUGAGAAGACAAACUGAAAUUUGUGCAUUUGGGGUAAAAGGAAUGUCAUGAUAAAGUUACACCAAUACUAAAUGAAAGUGUUGGCACGUUUUAUAUUGGUAAUAAUAAAAUAUAAUAAAAAAAACAGACACCAAUAUUAAAUAAAUGUCACAUGUCUGUUUUUUCUGCAUUUUUCACGUGUCUAUAUUUGAGACCACGUUCCUUGGUUGAGAAUAAAAGUGAUGAUGGUUUUUGAGUCUCACUUAUAAAAGAGUUUGGCUAUAAGUUGCUCAAUCUCCCUUUGGAGAUGCAUUUGCUUUGCUACAACAUGGGAUCUGAGAACACCAAAAUCAUAUUUCUCAAUGCAAUCCCCAGAUGUUGUCGAGGAGAGUCCUUUGGAGCAAGAGCUGGAGAAUAUUGAAGUUGCGGAGUAGUCUUCUUAGGAAUUCCUAUCUGAACCCAUGUAGUGUUCGAAUCUAUAAACUGUUUAAGU